UACUUAUUUUUAUUUAUAUGGCUGUGUGUGUACGUGUGUGUCUAUAUGUGGGCUAUGUAUGCGCGGGUGCCUGCUCUGGCCAGAAGAGGGAGUAAUAUCCCCUGGAACUGGAGUUACAGGUGUUUGUAAGCUGCCUGAUGUGGGUGCUGGGAACUGAACGAUUAGGUCCUUAGAAAGGGGUGCAAGUGCUCUUAGCUUUUGAGCCCUCUCUCUAAUCCCCCUUGAUGACAGUUGGUUUUCAGUAUAUGUGUGAGAGUUUUACCUGCAGUUUUGUCUGGAAUCUGGCAUUAAUGAUGGUUGUGAACUGCCAUGUGAGUGCUGGGGCCUUCUGAAAGAGCAGCCAGUGCUCCCAACUGCUGAGCCAUCUUUUAAGUCCAUUAUGACAGUUCUUUAUUGAAGUGGUAUGUAAUGGGUAUAAGGGUCCCACCAGGCAUCAUUACUUAGAAGUUUCUUUAUUUCCUAGGUAGUUAUCAACUGUUUAGUUUUAGAAAGAGGGACUUUUGUUAGAUUAUCAAGCUUUGUUUACUUGUCCUUGGGUAAGCGUAUGCAAUAGCUUACUAUACUACUACUGCCUGGUUUGGAAAAAGCUGAAUUGUAGUUACAGUUUUUGCUUGCUUUGUUUUUGAGACAGCCUUACUUCUACAGCCCAGGUUAACGGUGAACUCUCAACAUUCUAUCUGCUUCAGCCUGCCAAGUGUAUGAGCCACCACACAUGGCUGUAGGUACAGUUUUGAAUAUCCUUAUUCUGAAAUCUGCAAGUUUUUGAAUGGGAACAUCUAAUGCAAAAAAAAAAAGAAGAAAAAAGGUUUUGGAUAUUGGAUCAUUUUAGAUUUCUGAUUUUCGGGUUAGAGAGAUGGCUCAGUGGUUAAGAGCACUGACUGCUCUUCCAGAGGUCCUGAGUUCAAUUCCCAGCAACCACAUGGUGGCUCACAACCAUCUGUAAUGGGAUCUGAUGUGUCUGAAGACAUCUACAGUGUACUUAUAUACAUAAAAUAGAUAAAUAAAUCUUAUUUUUUUUCUUUUUAUUUUUUUUUCUUUCGGAGCUGGAGACCGAACCCAGGGCCUUGCAGUUGCUGGGCAAGCGCUCUACCACUGAGCUAAAUCCCCAACCCCCUUAAAUAAAUCUUAAAAAAGGAUAGAUUUCUGAUUUUCAAAAUUAGGGAUAUUCAGCUGAUGAGUGCUACAUAAAAAUUCUAAAAUCUGAUGUAUUCUGAAAUCCAAACCCUUCUAGUCCCAAGCAUUUCAGAUCUUUAUCAGGGAUUUAACCUGUAUAUGUGCAAAUGGUUUAUAGACAAAAAUUGUCAAGUUUUAACUACCUUGGAUCUAAAACGGCCUCUAAAAAGCUUCAUGUCCCUGAUAGUCAUUAUAGGAGUCGUUUUUUGCUGAACUGUGAAGGCCAUCAUCAUCGCUUUUAUCUGCUAGCCAGUUAGAACCCCUUUAUUGAGGUUUUGCAUAUUUUAGACUUAAAUGGCUAAGGCAGAAAUGUAAUGUCGAGAUGUUCAGUAUUUGGGUAUGUAUGAUUAGUACAGCAGAGUCCUGAAACGUCAGCUAAAUGUGCACUAGUUCUUGGGCCAUAACACAUUGUUUUUGAAAGAAUGUACUAAUUAAUAAAAUUCUGUUUUCUUUGAAUUAACUUAGUUCAUUAGCAUUACUGGAUUAACAAAGUGUUAAUAGUAUUACACUGGCUUUUGUUUUUAAUUUUAGAAAUGUAUAUUUACUUAUAUAAUUCCAUUUUCAAAGAAAUUAAAGUGAUCUUUCUCCAAAAUG
rnacentral:lncRNA from 1 species